UGGCGGACGGGUGAGUAACGCGUGGGUAACCUGCCCUGUACAGGGGGACAACAGUUAGAAAUGACUGCUAAUACCGCAUAAGCGCACAGGACCGCAUGGUCCGGUGUGAAAAACUCCGGUGGUACAGGAUGGACCUGCGUCUGAUUAGGUAGUUGGCGGGGUAACGGCCCACCAAGCCGACGAUCAGUAGCCGACCUGAGAGGGUGACCGGCCACAUUGGGACUGAGACACGGCCCAAACUCCUACGGGAGGCAGCAG
rnacentral:rRNA from 1 species